rnacentral:rRNA from 1 species
UGGGGAAUUUUGGACAAUGGGCGCAAGCCUGAUCCAGCCAUACCGCGUGAGUGAAGAAGGCCUUCGGGUUGUAAAGCUCUUUCAGACGGAAAGAAACGGUCGCGGCCAAUACCCGCGACUAAUGACGGUACCGUAAGAAGAAGCACCGGCUAACUACGUGCCAGCAGCCGCGGUAAUACGUAGGGUGCGAGCGUUAAUCGGAAUUACUGGGCGUAAAGUGUGCGCAGGCGGUUUGGUAAGACAGAUGUGAAAUCCCCGGGCUUAACCUGGGAACUGCAUUUGUGACUGCCAGACUAGAGUGUAGCAGAGGGGGGUAGAAUUCCACGUGUAGCAGUGAAAUGCGUAGAUAUGUGGAGGAAUACCGAUGGCGAAGGCAGCCCCCUGGGCUAACACUGACGCUCAUGCACGAAAGCGUGGGGAGCAAACAGGAUUAGAUACCCACGUAGUCCCUGAGCGGGCUGGCAAGGCGCAU